GAAUAUACCUUGCAGGGGGAAUACCAUGAUCAAGAAGGUGGUUUCUCCAGGGUGAGGCUCUUCCAUUGCACAUUUCGGUUGGGUUGUCCCCUGUGAUUUCCCCAAAUGUGGGAAACUCAACUACAGGGGUUGGGUGGGUGGCUUAAUGGCUAAGGUGUUUGCCUUA